UGUCAAAGAUGUUCUAUUCCGUGGUUUGGGGGUGACUUUUAACAUCUAUCAAGCUGAAGACUGGCCCUCUUUAUUGCAAAUAUAGAGAGUCUUUAGCUGUGUUUUUUGUUGUUGUGUUUGUUUGUUUGUUUCUUUGUUUUUGAGCAGAUGCCUGCUCCUGGGCAGGAUGGGCUCACAUUUUCAGAGUGAGGAGUUUGUACAAGCUCUCGCUGGAUUUUAGCCCUGUUAGUUUCGGUGUAUUCCAGAGAGCAAGGCCUAGUUUCUUUUGCUAACAUGCUUUCUGCCACUCACCCCGUUCUUGUGAUCUUCUUAGUCAUCAGAGGGACCAACGGAGACUCAGUGAACCAGACAGAAGUCCCAGUGGUUCUUCCAGAGGAGGCACCUAUGACUCUGAACUGCGCUUAUGAGACCCUUGAUUCAGCUCCCUAUCUUUUCUGGUACGUCCAGUAUCCCAACAGAGCUCCUCAACUCCUCCUGAAGGGGUCAACUGCAAACCCGAGGCCCAAGGAGCAAGGUUUCCAGGCCACUCUGGUUAAGAGUGACAAGACCUUCCACCUGCAGAAACGCUCAGUGCAAACAUCAGACUCGGCUGUGUACUACUGCGCCCUGAGUGACACAGUGAGAGGGGCUGCAGGGGGAGCCGAGCACAAACCCAGAGGGCACAGGUGGGGACUGGCUGUGGGCUGCCCUGGGAGGGGGGGGUUCUUCUCUGUCUCUGCUCUGGCAUGCUGGAGGCAUCCUCAGGAUAUUUCCAGCUCUGAUGCUCAGAGCCAGGAUCCUUGGAAUUCUUGGAUUGCUGGACAGAGAGGAAUCUAGGCCAGGGCAGUUUAAGAGGAACCUAAGAGCUCGUCUCAGAAAUGCCUUUCU